rnacentral:rRNA from 1 species
UACGAACUGUGCAAACGUUAUUCGGAAUCACUGGGCUUACAGGGUGCGUAGGCGGUCUGUUAAGUAGGGUGUGAAAACCCCCGGCUCAACCGGGGAAUUGCGCCCUAAACUGGCGGACUGGAGUGAGAUAGGGGUGUGCGGAACUUCCGGUGGAGCGGUGAAAUGUGUUGAUAUCGGAAGGAACGCCGGUGGCGAAAGCGGCACACUGGAUCUCAACUGACGCUGAGGCACGAAAGCCAGGGGAGCGAACGGG